rnacentral:lncRNA from 13 species
AGUUUUUAAAGAGAAGCUAAAUAGAAUUUAUAUUUCUAGAUCCUUGAGGAAUCACCACACUGUCUUCCCUGGCACAUAUACACCAUGGAAUACUAUGCAGCCAUAAAAAACUAUGAGUUUGUGUCCUCCAUAGAGACAUGGAUGAAUCUGGAUACCAUCAUUCUCAGCAAACUGAUGCAAGAACAGAAAACCAAACACUGCAUGAUUUCACUCACAGGUACCUGGAGAAGGGAAUGGAGCACAGGCGUCAACAAGUGGAGACAACGGGAAACUCUGCCUUACCAAGCCAGCUGCUUCACACUGAAAACAACUCAGAGUCCAAAAUUGAGCAGCAACGCAGGGAUGCAGAGAAGCUACGGGUUUGGGGGAAAUGGCAUCCAGGCCUUACUGGAUGCCUUUCCCUAA